rnacentral:rRNA from 1 species
GACGAACGCUGGCGGCGUGCUUAACACAUGCAAGUCGAGCGGAAAGGCCUGCUUUCCCUUGUGGAUUGCGGGUACUCGAGUGGCGAACGGGUGAGUAACACGUGAGUGAUCUGCCCCCAACUUGGGUAUAAGCCUGGGAAACUGGGUCUAAUUCCCGAUAGGACUGCAGGGUGGUGCCUGUGGUGGAAAACGAUUUUCUAGUGGUUGGGGAUGAGCUCGCGGCCUAUCAGCUUGUUGGUGGGGUAAUGGCCUACCAAGGCGGCGACGGGUAGCCGGCCGGAGAGGGUGGACGGCCACAUUGGGACUGAGAUACGGCCCAGACGCCUACGGGAGGCAGCAGUGGGGAAUAUUGCACAAUGGGCGGAAGCCUGAUGCAGCGACGCCGCGUGGGGGAUGACGGCCUUCGGGUUGUAAACUCCUUUCGACCGCGAGGAAGCCACCUGGUUGGAAGGGUGGUGACGGUAGUGGUAGAAGAAGCACCGGCUAACUACGUG